UAGGGAAUCUUCCGCAAUGGGCGAAAGCCUGACGGAGCAACGCCGCGUGAGUGAUGAAGGUCUUCGGAUCGUAAAACUCUGUUAUUAGGGAAGAACAAAUGUGUAAGUAACUAUGCACGUCUUGACGGUACCUAAUCAGAAAGCCACGGCUAACUACGUGCCAGCAGCCGCGGUAAUACGUAGGUGGCAAGCGUUAUACGGAAUUAUUGGGCGUAAAGCGCGCGUAGGCGGUUUUUUAAGUCUGAUGUGAAAGCCCACGGCUCAACCGUGGAGGGUCAUUGGAAACUGGAAAACUUGAGUGCAGAAGAGGAAAGUGGAAUUCCAUGUGUAGCGGUGAAAUGCGCAAAGAUAUGGAGGAACACCAGUGGCGAAGGCGACUUUCUGGUCUGUAACUGACGCUGAUGUGCGAAAGCGUGGGGAUCAAACAGG
rnacentral:rRNA from 1 species